GGGCCCCCAAAAUUCUGUCAACUUUAUAACAUCUCACAUGUUCUAAAUCACAAAACCCUAGCACUCAGCAGCAUCUGUGGAUUGUGGAAGCAGCCGUCAUUUGAUUUGAAGGAACGUUAAUCAAAUGUCGAUCGGAGAAAUCGCUUGUACUUACGCUUGUUUAAUCCUCAACGAUGAGGACAUUCCCAUCACCGCAGAGAAAAUUGCUUCUAUAGUAAAAGCAGCAAAUGUGAUAGUGGAGCCUUACUGGCCAUUGCUGUUUGCUAAACUUGCUGAGAAGAGAAACCUCGGAGAUCUUAUUAUGAAUGUCGGUGCUGGUGGCGGUGGCGCUGCCGUUGCUGUUGCUGCACCAGCUGGCGGAGCUGCUGCUGGUGCUGCUGCAGCCGCUCCAGCUGCUGAGGAAAAGAAGGAAGAGCCUAAGGAAGAAAGUGAUGACGACAUGGGAUUCAGUCUUUUUGAUUAGGAGCGACUUUCAGUUUGAUAUGUUGUGAUUCUAUUUUUCUGAGAAAAUUUGCCUGAUGCUGGAGAAGCAUAUGAGAGGUCAAUUGAGUAAACAAUUGAUUUGGUUGGAAUGUGUUUCUAUCAGCCAACUUGCUUCAACAAAGCUGAAUUGCUCUGAUCGUGUUAACUACAUUUAAGUUUAAAUCCAAUUAUUGAAGUUGAGAAAACUGAGGAGCUGAAAUAUAAAAGAAUGGAGUGCAUAGCUCAUUGUUGUGUAUGAUAUUAUCUUACUUCUAAGUCAAAAUGGAUGUAGAUUUGUUGUGUAUCUCAAGGAGACGAAGGGACUCUGAGGUAAUUUCGUGUA